UACCUGUUUGUGUGUAAAACCAUUCUUAAGCCUGAAUGGUACUUUUCUUGUUUUUGUCAAUUUUGUUCCUAUGAAAAGUCUUCUCUCUUUAGCUCAUGCUCGUUACCUCCUCCCCUCAUGUUUCACAGGAAGAUGAUAAACCUUUUUAAGAUCAAGGGGCAGAAGAAGGAAGAGGCGGCCAACUCAAAUGGGGGGCCUCCUGUUAAGAAGCAAAGUCUAGGUAUAUGUCUAUGCCUAACAUCAAGGUUUAGUAGCUAUUGUCCUGCUCAUGCUCCUGUUUGGUUGGGGGUGUUAGAUGAAAUGGUAGGGUUAAUUAAAGGGUUCUUGGUUAGCACUCCUUUUAAAUUUAGUUGAUUUUCUUACUGUCUAUCAUCAUGGCUUAAGGUUGUUGUUCUGAAAUUUAAACGGCUUAGGUUUUAAUCAAUUGGCAUGUUCAUGUUAGUUGUUAUGGAGUAAAUAUGAUAAGAACAGUGGAAAUUGAGCACCACCACUACUAGUAUAACUCAGCUUUAUUUUCUAAUCGGUAGGUAUCUAGUACUAGUAGAUUCAGAAUAUGUAGUCCUGAAAAUUAAAGGGAGCAGCAGUAAAUGAGUCAAACAAAAAUAUUCAUCUGCAAAUGUCGGUGUGUGUUUGAUUUGAUUUGGUUUGCUCUGUUGCUGAAGCUCCUCUUUGCUCUAACCAUUUCCGCACCAAAUGCAUAAUGUUCUGUUUUUAUUUUGUUCCUAAUUGUUUUGUUUAUAACCUGUAGAUGUCCUUUGUUCAUUGAAGUGCUGACUGCUACAACAAGUCCCAUGAUGAAGAAGCUAGAAUUCGCACC
rnacentral:lncRNA from 1 species